CCCGGGGGGAGAGGACGGGGCCUCUGACGUGGUGGGAGCAGAAUCGUGGGCAGACUUGACGCGAGAGGGCCUGACAUGCAAGUUGCCAGCCGCGAACCUGGACCCGGGCUGGGGAAGGGGCGACUCAGGCUGUGCUGCCCACGGUCGCUUCGUCGGACGCGACGCUGUCAGGACGACUGGCGUGGGCUUCCAGGGCACAGCAGCUGCUAAAGUGUAUUUUGAGCAGGAGAAACCAGGACCAUGCCAAACGAGCUCUCUCAGAAUUCCACGCCUUCUACCUUCUGCCCUCUUUCUCAACUAUGCUUCCAGAGUUCUCUAUGUGUCUUCAAGGGAAAAUUAAUGAGUCUCUGGACCUGUCUUUGUUUGGCAAAGUCCUACAUUUUUUUCCCAUUAAUAGGACAUUGCAUUAUGAAACCUGAAGUGAUCUUAAAGCUGGAGCAAGGAGCAGAGCCAUGGAUGAUAGAAGAGCUGCCAAAACUGAUACUACCAGAUGUCGGGAUAGUUGAUGACUUAAUUGAGAGGAACCAACAAAGUCACAGUAGAUAAUUUGUGGCAAGUUGCACUUACCAACAGCAACACAUCAACUAAGGAAAGAGUUCAAUUACAAAAAUAUGUAAUUUGAGUACAAACCAUAUCUCAGACAUCAAUGUAAAUAGUGGAAAUGAUUCAGCGAUGAGGCCUGAGUUGUUUAAUGUAUAUCAAAAUAUGAUUUUCCCAGUAAUCCUGAUGAGAUGAAGAGUGGAGAAAAUUUUGAUGCCUGUAGUUUAACUGGGACGUUCCUCAAACUUGAGCAGUUUAGACAGCAUCACAGGAUUCAAACUGUGCAGCAGCAUCUCGUCUGUAGUGAAAAAGAGCAAGUCUUUAACAGGGAGGCAGUGUUAUUGACACGUAAGAGUGUUCUUGACACAUAAGAGUGUUCUUGUGGGACAAGCUUCCUAUACAUGUAAAGAAUAUGGAAAAGCCUGUGAUCAGUCAGCUCUUAUUGCCCAAGUGAUAACUCAGGUAGGUAGGAAAACUGUUGAAUGUCAAGGAUGUGGGAAAACCUUUCCAGAGAAGUCAAGAGUCAGCUCAUUUCAGAGAACUUACACAGGGUUAAAACCCUGUAUGUGUAAAGAAUGUGGAAAAAUCUUUCACCGAAAAUCAAACCUCAGGAAGUAUCAAGGUAUUCUCAGAGUGGACAAACCUUGUGAAUGUAAUGAAUGUGGAAAAACUUUUCGCUACAAGUCACAGCUCAGGCUGCAUCAGUAUAGUCACACAGGGAAAAACCCUAUAAAUGUAAUGAAUGUGGGAAAGCCUUUGUCUGGAAGUUAUCUCUAAGGAAACAUCAGCAUGUUCAUACUGUUCAGAAACUCUAUGAAUGUAAUUAUUGUGGAAAAUUUUUUUCCUGAAAGGCAAACCUUAGGAUGUAUCAGGGUAUUCACAUAGGGGGAAAACACUAUGAAUGUAAUGAAUGUGGAAAAGCCUUUGCUUGGAAGUCAAGCUUAAAAAGCCAUCAGGGUAUUCACACAAGGCAGAAAGUCUAUGAAUGUAAUGAAUGUGGAAAGAUUUUCUGCCAAAAUUCACUCCUCAAAGAGCAUCAGCAUACUCACACAGGGAAAACCCUAUAAAUGUAAUGAUUGUGGGAAAAGCUUUUGCCUCGAAGUCAACAUUCAGGAUGCAUCACCAUGUUCACACUGGGCAAAAACCCUAUGAAUGUAAUUACUGUGGAAAAAAUUUUUCCCAGAAGGCAUACUUUGGGAUGCAUCAGAAUAUUCACACAGAGGGAAAGCACUAUAAAUGUAAUGAAUGUGGAAAAACCUUUGUUUGGAAGUCAAGCUUAAAAAGCCACCAAGGUAUUAACAGAGGGCAGAGAGCCUAUGAAUGUAAUGUGUGUGGCAAAGUCUUCCAGUGGACGUCCGGACUCAAUACACAUCAAAGAAUUCACACUGGGGAGAGACCCUAUGAAUGUAGUGAAUGUGGAAAAACAUUCUGCCGGAAUUCAUACCUCAAGGAGCAUCAGGAUACUCACAUAGAGGGAAAACCUUAUAAAUGUAAUGAUUGUGGAAAAGCUUUUACCUCGAAGUCAACACUUAGGAAGCAUGGGCAUAUUCACACAGGGUAGAAAACCUGUGAAUGUACUGUGUGGGGGGAAAAUCUACCAGAAGUCAGGACUCACUGCACAUCGAAGGAUUCAUAUUAGAGAGAAGCACAAUGGAUGUAACAAGCAGAAAAACCUUUGCUUGGAAGCCAAACUUCAUAAAUCAUCAGUGUAAUUUACACUGUCAAAAAACCUUUGAAUGUAAUAUGUGUUAGAAAAUUUAUGGAAAGUAAGACCUCACUACACAUGAAAUACACACUGGGGAGAAACUCUAUAAAUGUGAUGAAAGUGGAAUAACUUCAGAACUCACCCCUCAGUUCACAUCAAACAACUCACCCCAGUGAGAAGCCCUAUGAAUAAUGUGGAAGAAAUGUGGAAAAAACUUUCACUGGAAGUUACAUCUCAGUUGACAUCAGAGAACAUACAUGGGGGGAGUAAAACCUAUGAGUGUGAGAAAGCAUUCUACCUUAUGUUAUUUGUCACUAGACACAGAGAACUCUCAAGUAUAAAACUGUGAAUGUAAUGAAUGUGGAAAAACCUUGUCAGAAGUCACAACUUAGCAAGAAGUCACAGUGGGGAGAAAUCAGAUACUGUUUUCCAAACAUCAUUCCUUUUACUCUGGAACACACAACCUGCAUUUCUUAGUCUCCCGUUUUUGUGGUCAGGACUAUGCUCAGGACUAAGCUGAGAUUUUUGUAGGGAAGUAUGGACAAGUGAUAAACUUCCAGACAUAGCAACAAAAAACUGAUUCACCAUGAUUUCUGAUGCCUUGAGAUCAGAUGACCCUCCGGGUGACCUUGGGAGUCUUCAGUUGGACCUGGUCACUGUGCUUUAUAACAGAAUAAAUUAAUUGAAGAGAGUAGUGAUCUUCCCACCUUGACCCCAUGUUACCUCCUCCUACUUUAAAUAAGCAACCAAUAAAUACCUGAUCUAUCAAA